rnacentral:misc_RNA from 1 species
AACGCAAAUGGCACUGUCGGGAUAGGCCUGGCAGUACGUUUCUUUCAGCGUCGUUUCAACAACACUCAGGCUGCGCCUUUACUGGCAUAGUCCUGGAAUUUGAGGAUCAGACUCUGUCAUGGAGUGUGUUCCUUUAAAUUGAGCGGAACGACAUGUGCUUAUGCACAUUGCAUCGAUUACUUGGCAGCGACGUGGAUAAUUUCACUUAGGUGAAUCUUUACGUGGCUGUUAACAAGGAAAGGUGUAUGUGAGGCUGAGCGCAAGGGUCUAUCCGAUUAUCGGAGGCUUUACGCCUUCAACAAUCUUUUCGACUCAGACCUGAAAUGAAGCGAGAAUACCCGCCGAACUUAA